AUUUGAUGUUCCUGAGGACGUUUGUAAAUUUGAGACAGACUUUAAUAUUGUUAGACGGUUGUUGUACAGGAAUCCAGGAGAAUAUGAAGAAAGGCUAUUAUUAUGAAGUGCUGUUUUGCUAACAUUCCUUCAUAUUCCAAAACUUCAACAUGGGAAGUCCCAGAAUGGAGGAACUUAGCUCCUUAUGGUGGGAAGAA